AGCUGCCUGGAAAACAGCAGUUUUCUUGAGAAUAAAAAAAAAUACAAGCACACAAACCCUAGUCUGCGAGGGGGCGGGCGGGGCCCCUGCCUCCCUCAGCGUUGGGGGUCUCAGGCCCCAGAGGGGUUCCUGGGAAUUUCCCCUCUUACUCAAGUUGAACCAAAACAUGAGAGGCUUGAUGUGCGGCCCUCCCACCAGGCCUUCUGCCCUGAGGUGAACGGUGCCCUCACCCUUCUAGAACAUUCUCUGUUGUCAUGGAGACCAGGGCUGGGAUCACAGAGUCUCCCACCCCCUUGUCCUCCUCUUCAGCCUGAGCCUCACGUCGGGAAAAGACCCAAUGAGAGCCGUCGCCAGCGUCUCCACGUGGGGCCGUACCACAGCCUCAAACAUGCAUCCGGGACAGGAGGAGGGGCGCACCCAAACUGCCAGACAGAACUGCCGCAGCUUCUGGGAAUCAGCACUUUCAAAAACAAAAAUUGCGUGGUUAUUUUACGAGUAGCCCCGUCAUCUCUAGGACGUUACAGGUGGUUGGGGAAGCCCUGCGUCAGGAGGUGUGCUGGAGUCAUUGACGCCUUCACCCAGAGCUCGCUGAGCCGCUGCUGUGGGCCAGGCAGGGGCAGCGCGGGCCCUGGCGUAGAGCAGCGGGCUGCACACAGCCCUGGACACGGCGACCUCCGGCAGUCGAGUUGGCACCCUGAGUCGGCCUGCGACGGGGCGUGUGAGCCGGAAAGGUUCCUCAUCUAUGAAAGGAAUUACAGUGAGGGAGAAACGGGAAGCUGUGGUCCCUGGCACCUGGAAGCCCUGCAUAAAGGCCUCUUGAACUCUGAGUGGACAGCAAGCUGGUCCAGCAGGAGGCGAAGUCAACAACAACAGCCACGGCGAAUGCUGCUCAGAGCUUGCUCCACGUCGCGCUCCUUGAAGUACAGGCUUUGGAGACUGAAAACAAGAGACAAGAGAUGUCAGAGCAAAGCAGAGUUUAUGUUGUUGUCUCAUCUUGGCUUCGCUGUGAAACCUGAGCAGGUCAGGCAGGGCUGGGCCUCCCAUCCCGACAUUUUGAAUCCAGCAACUCUAAGGGGCCUCUGAGGGUGUGCAGCCACCAGGGAAG
rnacentral:lncRNA from 1 species